CCCUCGUUUUGGUGCUGCAACCAAUGCAACUCCACCAAAUGACAAUGAUGCUGCAAUAGUAUGCACCAAAUCGUCACGAGCUUCAUCAAAAAACAGGCAAUCAGCGGCUAGUAUGACAUCGUAAUGACAAAUGUUUGCAGGCUACUAAACGUCUUCAAAAGCAUGCUUAUAAACGAGAAAGAAUUCAGAAUUUUCCACUACAACUAGGUAUUUGAAUAACACAAACAAACAGUAUCACAGAAAUUGUCCUGCAAGAAACAGGAAAAUAAAAUAAUAUUUAUAGCUAGUACUCGGUACCUACUUAAAAUCUUAUUAUUAUCCUGUAAGAUGGGAUUAAAUAUUUCACAGUACCUACCUAGGUACCUACAUUUUGACAUAUGCAAUUAAAAAAAAUUAGGUACUACCUAUACUUUUAGAUACAUAUAAAACUAAUAAAAAUAACAAAA